CAGGAUUCCGGUAUCUUGGUGACAGCAGCCGGGACAACCUGGGAUCCCCCCCCCCCGCCUGAGCACACCGCAGGGGUCACCGCACUCAGGUGCCAGCAGAGUGCAAACCCAAAGCUUGGUCUGGCUGAGAAGAGGCAAGAGGGAGAGGAGUGAGGCUGCAGGGUUUAUAAAGGAAGACUGCAGCCCCAGUCUGCCUCGGGUGUGUCCUCUGCCCUUGCACCUUUGGAAUGUGGCUGACUGACUCUGUCAGGGACUUGUGCUGUCCACUGCCUUGGAUCUCACAUCUGGAAGCUGAACUCCAAGAGGAGCAAGAGCUUCUGCAAAUGAUGCCAGCUGUGAAGGUUAACAGAGCACCGGAAGUGCUUUAGAAGAAGGAUGCUAGGCUGCUGACCCCCACCAAAGCCUGGGAGAAAGUCCUUGUCCCAGCUGUGAAGCUACCACUCCACUAGAGUCUCUACUGGAACAGUCUGGGGAGAGGACAAGAGAUUAGGUCUCAGUUAAAAGACUUCUUACCUAAGGAUUUUCUAAUUGUGCAAGCCAGAGAAGGGCUACUAGCUUCUGUGUUAGCUGUCAAGCUAGCUCUUCCAAAGGGGAGGCCAUGAUAUUACAGGUCUGCAGAUUUCAAUGGCUUCCAGCAAGAUCCCAGGCUGGCCUCUCCUUAGCUUGAGCCAGCUCCUAACUGAUGCCUGAAAGGUUCUCCAAGCAGGUGAUUGCACUGAUGUGGGCAUCAGAUGCUCACUCUAGCACAAAAGCUUGCAUUACCUCUAGAGUAGGGAUCCUCCACUAGUGACACUCAAUUCUGUUAGCGACUGUAUGGGACUGGCUACAGGAGCUUGUACCCAGCACUAUCCUCAACUAUGAGCUUUUAUCUACCAAGGCUGUACCUUCAGCUAAGUCCUCCACUUAAGUAAUUAGCUCACUUUCUUCAUCCUAUUUCCUGGGAUUCUCUUAAGAAUUGAAUGAAACAGUGCAUCCGGAUUUCUUUUUUUGUUUGUUUGCUUGUUUUUGCUUUAUGUUUUUGGUUUUGUUUUUCGAGACAGGGUUUCUCUGUAUUGUUUUGGAGGCUGUCCUGGAACUCACUCUGUAGACUAGGCUGGCCUCGAACUCAUAAAGAUCCGCCUGCCUCUGCCUCCCAAGUGCUAGGAUUAAAGGCAGCUUACAACUGUCUGUAGUUCCAGUUCCAGGGUAUCCAACACCCUCAUACAGACAUACAUGCAGGAAAAACACUAAUGCAUAUAAAAUAAAUUAAAAAACCAAAUCAAGCUCUAAGACAGUCAAGGUUACAUAGAGAACUCUGUCUUGAAAAACCAAAAAAGAAAAACCAAAAAAGACCAGUUCUCCCUGUUGUGGUAACCCCCAACCAUAAAAUUAUGUUCAUUGCUAAUUACUUCAUAUUUGUAAUUCUGCUACAGAUAUGAAUCAUAAUGUGAAUAUUUGAUAUGAGACCCUAUAGGGUCACGACCCACAGGUUGAGAACAACUGGUCUAAAGCUUCAAGGAGGAAAAGAACAGGCCUUUUUUGAGACAGAAUUUCUCUGGGUAGCUUUGGAGUCUGUCCUGGCACUUGAUCUGUAUACCAGGCUGGCCUCGAACUCACAGAGAUUCACCUGCUUCUGCUUCCCAAGUGCUGGGAUUGAAGGUGUGUGACACCACCACCCAGCUCUUCUAAGUCUUAUUUUGUUUGUAUUUCUGUUUUAAUUACAAAAUAUUGGGCUUUUCUGUUUUUGUUUUUGUUUUUUGAGACAGGGUAUCUCUGUGGCUUUG
ensembl:lncRNA